UACGGAGGGUGCAAGCGUUGUCCGGAUUUAUUGGGUUUAAAGGGUGCGUAGGCGGCCCGUUAAGUCAGCGGUGAAAUCCCAGGGCUCAACCCUGGAACUGCCGUUGAUACUGGCGGGCUUGAGUACAGACGAGGCAGGCGGAAUUGGGGGUGUAGCGGUGAAAUGCUUAGAUACCCUCAAGAACACCGAUUGCGUAGGCAGCUUGCUAGGCUGUGACUGACGCUGAGGCACGAAAGCGUGGGGAGCGAACAGG
rnacentral:rRNA from 1 species